UACGUAGGGUGCGAGCGUUGUUCGGAUUUACUGGGCGUAAAGGGCGCGUAGGCGGCCCUCCUCGUCGCGUGUGAAAGCCCCGGGCUCAACCUGGGAAUUGCGCGCGAAACGGGGGGGCUUGAGUUCGGGAGAGGAGCGUGGAAUUCCCAGUGUAGAGGUGAAAUUCGUAGAUAUUGGGAAGAACACCGGUGGCGAAGGCGGCGCUCUGGACCGAGACUGACGCUGAGGUGCGAAAGCGUGGGGAGCAAACAGG
rnacentral:rRNA from 1 species